GGGACAACAGUCGGAAACGACUGCUAAUACCGCAUAAGCCCACGACCCGGCAUCGGGUAGAGGGAAAAGGAGCAAUCCGCUUUGAGAUGGCCUCGCGUCCGAUUAGCUAGUUGGUGAGGUAACGGCCCACCAAGGCGACGAUCGGUAGCCGGACUGAGAGGUUGAACGGCCACAUUGGGACUGAGACACGGCCCAGACUCCUACGGGAGGCAGCAGUGGGGAAUAUUGCACAAUGGGGGAAACCCUGAUGCAGCGACGCUGCGUGGAGGAAGAAGGUCUUCGGAUUGUAAACUCCUGUUGUUGAGGAAGAUAAUGACGGUACUCAACAAGGAAGUGACGGCUAACUACGUGCCAGCAGCCGCGGUAAAACGUAGGUCACAAGCGUUGUCCGGAAUUACUGGGUGUAAAGGGAGCGCAGGCGGGAAGACAAGUUGGAAGUGAAAUCCAUGGGCUCAACCCAUGAACUGCUUUCAAAACUGUUUUUCUUGAGUAGUGCAGAGGUAGGCGGAAUUCCCGGUGUAGCGGUGGAAUGCGUAGAUAUCGGGAGGAACACCAGUGGCGAAGGCGGCCUACUGGGCACCAACUGACGCUGAGGCUCGAAAGUGUGGGUAGCAAACAGGAUUAGAUACCCUGGUAGUCCACACUGUAAACGAUGAUUACUAGGUGUUGGAGGAUUGACCCCUUCAGUGCCGCAG
rnacentral:rRNA from 1 species